ACUCAAAUGAAUUGACGGGGACCCGCACAAGCGGUGGAUGAUGUGGUUUAAUUCGAUGCAACGCGAAAAACCUUACCUACCCUUGACAUGUCUAGAAGUUACCAGAGAUGGUUUCGUGCUCGAAAGAGAACUAGAACACAGGUGCUGCAUGGCCGUCGUCAGCUCGUGUCGUGAGAUGUUGGGUUAAGUCCCGCAACGAGCGCAACCCUUGUCAUUAGUUGCUACGAAAGGGCACUCUAAUGAGACUGCCGGUGACAAACCGGAGGAAGGUGGGGAUGACGUCAGGUCAUCAUGGCCCUUAUGGGUAGGGCUACACACGUCAUACAAUGGCCGGGACAGAGGGCUGCCAACCCGCGAGGGGGAGCUAAUCCCAGAAACCCGGUCGUAGUCCGGAUCGCAGUCUGCAACUCGACUGCGUGAAGUCGGAAUCGCUAGUAAUCGCGGAUCAGCUUGCCGCGGUGAAUACGUUCCCGGGUCUUGCACACACCGCCCGU
rnacentral:rRNA from 1 species